GGACUACUGGGGUAUCUAAUCCUGUUUGCUCCCCUAGCUUUCGUUCCUCAGCGUCAGUAACGGUCCAGCGCGCCGCUUUCGCCACGGGUGUUCCUGCAGAUAUCUACGCAUUUCACCGCUACACCUGCAAUUCCACGCGCCUCUCCCGCACUCUAGCACAGCAGUUUCGGAAGCAGCUUCUGGGUUAAGCCCAGAAAUUUCACUCCCGACUUGCCACACCGCCUACGAACCCUUUACACCCAGUAAUUCCGAACAACGCUGGCCCCCUACGUCUUACCGCGGCUGCUGGCAC
rnacentral:rRNA from 1 species